CCUACGGGGGGCAGCAGUGAGGAAUAUUGGUCAAUGGGCGCGAGCCUGAACCAGCCAAGUAGCGUGAAGGAUGACUGCCCUACGGGUUGUAAACUUCUUUUAUAAAGGAAUAAAGUGAGGCACGUGUGCCUUUUUGUAUGUACUUUAUGAAUAAGGAUCGGCUAACUCCGUGCCAGCAGCCGCGGUAAUACGGAGGAUCCGAGCGUUGUCCGGUUUUAUUGGGUUGAAAGGGAGCGUAGAUGGGUUGUUAAGUCAGUUGGUAAAGUUUGCGGCUCAACCGUAAAAUUGCACUUGAUACUAGCAGUCGUGAGUACAGUUGAGGUAGGCGGAAGUCGUGGUGUAGCGGUGAAAUGCUUAGAU
rnacentral:rRNA from 1 species